GUCUACGGCCAUAUCACCCUGGACGCGCCCGAUCUCGUCUGAUCUCGGAAGCUAAGCAGGGUCUGCCAGCGGGAACAAGGCUGCAGUGGCGGACA
ensembl:rRNA 5S_rRNA 5S ribosomal RNA